UGGCCAAGCUAAUGGGGAUGGU
rnacentral:siRNA from 1 species